GCAGAAGUAGUUCAUCGGUAGAAUACAACCUUGCCAAGGUUGGGGUCGCGGGUUCGAAUCCCGUCUUCUGCUCCA
rnacentral:tRNA from 1 species